GAACUUUAAAAGCUGUGUAUCACCCUCAAAGCCUGACCUGCAUAUUCAGUUUCCCUGUCAUUUCAAGGUGCAGACAAAGUGAGUCUGGUGAGCAGCUCUGGACCAGCCUGUCAUUUCAGUCGAGCUGUGUCUUUGCACUGAUAUCAUUUAGAGGACACUGGAGAUGGUGGAAGAACCAGAAAGCUACGCUGCUCUUUCAUGGUGUAAGCUACUGCUGAGAAUCAUAAAGAAGAAGAAAAAACCCUUAAUCUGUAGUUCUGAAUAAAGUGACAUUAAGAGAACA
rnacentral:lncRNA from 1 species